AGCGAACGCUGGCGGCAGGCCUAACACAUGCAAGUCGAACGGAUCCUUCGGGAUUAGUGGCGGACGGGUGAGUAACACGUGGGAACGUGCCUUUUGGUUCGGAACAACUCAGGGAAACUUGAGCUAAUACCGAAUGUGCCCUUAGGGGAAAGAUUUAUCGCCAUUAGAGCGGCCCGCGUCUGAUUAGCUAGUUGGUGAGGUAAAGGCUCACCAAGGCUACGAUCAGUAGCUGGUCUGAGAGGAUGAUCAGCCACAUUGGGACUGAGACACGGCCCAAACUCCUACGGGAGGCAGCAGUGGGGAAUCUUGCGCAAUGGGCGAAAGCCUGACGCAGCCAUGCCGCGUGAAUGAUGAAGGUCUUAGGAUUGUAAAAUUCUUUCACCGGGGACGAUAAUGACGGUACCCGGAGAAGAAGCCCCGGCUAACUUCGUG
rnacentral:rRNA from 1 species